rnacentral:siRNA from 1 species
UAUGGGCUCAGAUUCGUGGCCUA